AACUUUUAAGACCACUGGCAUAAUGACAAAUUAUUAGAAUUAGGUUUUGUGCUCUGUUUCCUUUAAAUAUUAAAAGGUAUAUUUUUUCUAUAAGAUAGCUUAGUGAUACUCAUAAAACUCCCAAAGGCCCCCAAAGAAAUCUGAGAAACUGUCACAGAUCAGAGAAGAGCAAAGAGAUAGAAUGUCUACUUGUAAUGUGUUAUUCUGGGUGGGAUCCUGGAACAGAAACAGAACACUGGUUGGAAAACUAAGGAAAUCUAAGUUGAUUUAAUGGUAAUAUACCAGUGUCAAUUUUCUAGGUGUUUUCUUUGAUAAUGUAAGAUGCUCCAAUAGGGGAAGAUGGGUAAAAAGUACUGGGGAACAAUUUUUCCAACUUUAUUCAAAAUCUAAAGCUAAUCUAAAAAAUUUCAAAAACUUUUUAAAAAUAUUUACAUCAAAUCCCAAGAAGAGAAAAGGAAGGAAAACAAAAUGAAACAAAAAACAACCAGAGAAUUCAAUGCCUGUAGGGAAAACUUGAGAAAAUUCUAAAUAUUUCUUCCUAUUAUCAAGUGGUAAAUCACUGUUAAGAUUGCCCUGUAUCUUUAGAGAUUUCCAGUAGAUUUUACUAUUCUAACAUAUGCUCAUUAGUGUUUCUUCCUGCAGGAAGAGAUUUGCCUUUGGUAACCAUAUGUUAAAUAGAAAAUUUAAAAAGCCAUGUUUCUCCCAAAAAACAAAGAGUACUGCAUUGCCAAACAGUGGAGUACUGGUUCCAGAUGACUCCUCUUUUGAGGAUCUUUUGCACUCCCAGCCUAUAAUAGUUACUAACUGGAUAUUUUAGGGGUUAUUUCAGUAAAUUAGGCAUGAAUAUUCAAGAUAAUUGUUUCAAUUAUCCAUUUCACUUUUGUUUCUACACAUGCAUUGUGUUUGGUUUUGUUUUACUAUAGCAUCCUAAGUACUAAGUCAUUAUGCAAACAUUUCCAAACACUCAGAAUUUUUAUAUGUUCUGUUCCAUUCCCAAGUGAAAAGAAACAAUCCUCAUUUAAUCAGUACAGUGACAAGUGCAAAGGGUGUGUACUUGUGUGUGUGUGUGUUUGUGUGUGUUUAAGUGUGUGCGACAGAGAGAGAGACAUGUGUUAUUGGUAUAGGAGAUUAUAAUUCAACUUCAGGGAGACAAUUGCUUAAUUAAUUUGAACUUCACUCCUUAAUCUUUGUUGUAUUUGCUUGUUCAUUUAAAUUAAAUUCAUAAAUAUGAUAUGUUUUAUUAUUUAUCAGUAUUAUAUGAGUAAAUUUAACUAUUCCUGAAUAUCAUGAAGGGACUAGUCCAAUAUACAGUUUUCUCUAUAUUUAUAACUAUAUCUUCUUUUUAGAUAUAGUUUUCCGGCACCACUGAGAGAGUUAUAUUUCAUGUGCACACACACAAAAAUUGUAUUUGCCCCCAUUAAUUUCUAUGAUAAUAUGUUAAAUGUAAUAAUUUUCAUCUUCAUUUUGGUUAAAGCUCAAAGGGCAAAUACAAAACUGCAAGUGAUAAACACCCAUAUGUCCCAAAUAAAGGCUUUGGAUUUGGAAAGGGGACCUUGAAGACUGGUUUUGUAGAUAAUCACCUGCUUGAAGGAUUGGAAUUCAAGUGAUCUAGAGAUGAAGCAGGGAAUUUCUUUUUUUCCCCCAUGUUUUCUUUUGCUUUUCAAAAUACACUAAACACUUUAUUCAUAUGGAAUAGCUAAGAAAUAAGGUGAGAAAAUUUGGCACAACAUAUAAACUCUACCAUAACACCUAAAGAUAAGAUGGAUUCUUUCCUUUUCAAGAACAUUGUGGUUUCUAAAUAGUUCUUUUUGAAUAUUUUUACUUGUGCUUUUUAACUAUGCAUAAUAGUGAGAUUCACUAUGCCAUAUUCAUAUGAGAAUCCAGCCUCUACCUCAGAGCAAAGCUUGUCCAAGGAAGGGGGCAUGACCCUUGUCCUUGGAAAGACCCACAGAGCACUCCUAGGCACAUACCCACCCUGCUGAGUUGUUUAUCUACAAAUAACAGGAGAGAUCUGCAGCACCAGGUGUCCCUGAUUCAGUCAGACUAGGUGAGGACCCAUAGCAACCUCCUAGCAACCACCAAUCAGCAUGAGACAGGGAAAAUACCUGGGAUGCCAGAUGACCCUCCCAGUAGUUUAUGGUGGUUGAUAACAUGAAAUCAUGUAGUUUAGCACGUACUCCCCUGUGGCUUAAACCAAUCAGUUCAAAGGAAUCCCCCUAUUGUACUAACCAAUCAUCCUUACCCAACUUGUUCCCUCCACAAUGUUCUUGAAAAGGAAUGUGCUAAUCUUGUUUUAGAGUUGUUUUAUGAUUUUCCCACAGUGUGCUGAUUUGCUAAGAGAUGCUAUGAUGUAUGUGAAGUCCCUGCCUUCCCCAAAGAGUGUACAAAACUGCUGCAAACCCUGGGCUCGGGGCCUCUCAGCAUCACCAGUUGCUGUGUGUGCAUGGAGGACCAAGCUAGUUUGCAAUAAACACCUCUUUGCUGCUUCCAUCCAUCUUGGUCUCUGGUGGGCUUUUGGGGGUCCCGAAUUUGAGCAUAACACAUACACGCACAUACCAUAAUUUGAUCAACCUCAUUCCCCAGUACCUUCCCUUUCCCGUCCUUCCUCCUUACACCUGAUCCACUGGCUCUACUCUACAGAUUUCCAUCUAUUAGCAUU
rnacentral:lncRNA from 1 species